rnacentral:rRNA from 1 species
GACGAACGCUGGCGGCGUGCCUAAUACAUGCAAGUUGAGCGCUGAAGGUUGGUACUUGUACCAACUGGAUGAGCAGCGAACGGGUGAGUAACGCGUGGGGAAUCUGCCUUUGAGCGGGGGACAACAUUUGGAAACGAAUGCUAAUACCGCAUAAAAACUUUAAACACAAGUUUUAAGUUUGAAAGAUGCAAUUGCAUCACUCAAAGAUGAUCCCGCGUUGUAUUAGCUAGUUGGUGAGGUAAAGGCUCACCAAGGCGAUGAUACAUAGCCGACCUGAGAGGGUGAUCGGCCACAUUGGGACUGAGACACGGCCCAAACUCCUGCGGGAGGCAGCAGUAGGGAAUCUUCGGCAAUGGACGAAAGUCUGACCGAGCAACGCCGCGUGAGUGAAGAAGGUUGUCGGAUCGUAAAAAUCUGUUGGUAGAGAAGAACGUUGGUGAGAGUGGAAAGCUCAUAAAGUGACGGUAACUACCCAGAAAGGGACGGCUAACUACGUG